rnacentral:lncRNA from 1 species
CUCAGGUGUUUUUUAUUUAAUGUUCUGGGAGAUGGUUCUUUGCUUUUUCACCAGUUCAGUUCUGUGCAAAUCCCAAACAAGACAUAAAUAUUUAACAUGCUUCAUAGAUGUCAAUUGACUGUGUUGGAUCAUUUAAUGCCUUUCUAUUAUGGACGUGAUAUCUGAGAAUAUGAUAAAAAGUACCUGCUGACUAAACUGAAAUGCCAGAUGAGAAGGAAUCUUGUUAAUGUACAAAUUUACUGUAAAGAAUGAUACUUCUUCCAUCAGUUUUUCUUUCCAAUGUCAUUUGUUGGCUGAAGUGUUUCUUAAGAAAUGGACCAGACCCAUUGUUAUUAGAUGAGCUGAAAAAAAUAAACAGAUGACAAUCAUCAGGAACUCAGUAGUGCUGUUCCUAUGCUUAUCAUUAAUGCAAAUCGAAAAUAUAAUAAUGAAAAUUGGUGCAGUUAAAGAAGAAAAACUAAAUUAGAAUUGAAGACAGAAUUGACUGAAUUUAUGUGAUAAGCAGCUGGAUUGAGUAGCAUGUUGUACUUCUAAUGAAAUAUGUUCUUGGUUACAUCAAUCAAUGACAUCUCUUGGGAGCCAGCCCUGUGCUCCUAGCUGCAGCACUGGUGGCUGGAGAACGUGGCUGAGGACAGCAGGGUUCAAUGGCAGACUCCACGUGAGGAACAGGCAAAGGUCUUAAUGGUGAGCACAGAGCUCAGGCCAGAGGCUGCUGGUAAGAAAGACCUGCCUCUGGAGCUUCACAAAAGGAAGCUGUAAAGCAGCCCUGUCUGCAAGGUCUUAAAAGCAAACUGCCAUGCUUCAUUCUCCUUGGGAAAGCAAAGAGUGCCAGAUUCAGAGCGAGAAACACUUUCUUAAGAAAGAGAUUAAUGCUCUUCUAAAUAAAUGUGGCAUUGCUAACUUCCAAGUUAGGCAUAUAUCGUCUUCCAGAUUUAAAGGUGUUUGAAACUGUUUGCAUAAAACUAUGGAGUCUAUAAACUAACCUUUCAGAGGUUUGGGGGCAAACAUACUAUUAUAAAUUGUCAAUUGUAUGACAGGGCUGCAAAAAAAAAAAACUUAAAAGCUAUAGUAGUACAAAGUGAUACCUCACAGUGGAGUUAAUGACUCUCUAAAGCAGUCUCUUAACAAUAACAUAUGUAUAACAACCCAUUUCUUACAUCCUGUAAAAUCAAAGUAUCUUUUUUCUGGUAAAUGCUAGAUGUAGCUCUAAGAAUUGCUGUGGAUUAAACUAGGUUCUGAUGUCUUGUGUUGUUUGGCUCCAGUAAUUACCUCCAUGUGCUUUCUUCCCCUUACCAAGGGACACUCAGCUGUCAAUGGAAGUAGAAGACCAAGCAAUAUACUGACUAGUCUGUUUUCAUGGUUUCAUACAGCAGAAACAGAGGGGGAAGAACUGAUGGCUGUAGUGUGGAGUCUGAACAUAAUGCAGUAGAAAUGAAAUGCAAGAGUGAGGCUCCUGGUGAUUCUUGGAACAGGAGUCACCGUCCAGUUAAAUAGGAAUGCUAAAUGUCUCCCUGUUGGUGACAGGUUUUGGCUUCAUUUUAAAAUUGAGUAUGAAGAUCAUCAGUGUGCAAAAUGUUUGCAAUUUUUUUCAGAUACAUAAGCUCAAGCAUAUGUGGUAGACAAUAGUGCAGUAGAAAUGUCAAUCCAAACAAUCAAGCACUACAGAAACCAUCAUAACACAGCUAGUAUUGUUUGGGAUGAUCAACUCUUAAGCCUUAAGGACUACAGUACAUUAAAAAAGGUAACAUAAUUCCAAGUGCCAACAUCCAUCAAGCUUUUCUGUAUUUCCGGUGCUUAGAGCUACACGAAAGAAAACUGGGAAGGAAGCAGUUGUGAUAAGAAACUGUAUUGCAGUGUUAUAGUAAUAAAAUAAAGACACCUGUGAGGUUUCAAAGUACCAGGCUGCCACAAUACAAUUGUCUGAGGCUUCCACUGUGUAGAGCAGCUCUGGAGGGGAUAUAAAAAUUGAAUGAGAUGAAACAAGACUGUGUCUGUGUUUUGUGUCCCAUAGAGACCCACAGUGUUAGUGACAGUGCUUCAUUAAUGUGUUUUGUUCAGGGCAGAGACUGGCAGCACAGCCAGCACCUACCUCCACGUACCUUACUCCUCUGCAGCUCUGGAUGGGCCACUGCAGAAAGUGCUCCAGCACACCCCUGCACAGUGUGCUUCCCCUGCUACCAGGUUGUCUGAGGCCAGAGAAACCUGCAGCCUUGUGGUAGCCCUCCAUGCAUACAGACCCUUAGAAAAACGAAACAGUUUGAAUGUAAUUGUGUUGGGUUUUUUGUGGUUUCUUUUUCUGCAUUACGUUCUCCUGAGAAAUAUGAGGUUGGUGAACUGGUUAAUAUUCUAGACUAGGAGAGGAAAAUCAACAAGUGUGUGUAUACAAUAUAAGUUCAGAGCUGCCGUUUUUCAGUCUACUUUAGCUCCAUAUCUUUGUGUCUGUGCACUUAGCUGUCUUCCAAAGUGAAGAUUUAAUCCUUAAGGGUUCCCUUGCUAUGCAUUAUUUUCUAAACAGGAGACAGAAGUAUAAUACAGUAUUACCCAAGUCAAUGAUUGAUUCUGAUAUGCUACUUAAAACAUGCCAAAGAUAUUAGCUACCUCCCAGCCAAAAACUGUCAGAAAUAAACACUGAUCGGACAGAGUUCUGCAUUAAUUUUUAAAAACAUAACAGUAGGAGACAAAGAGGUCCAGGGUUUUCCACUGCUAACCAACAGCUUCCACACUGGGGAUGAAGUUUUCAGUGCUUACAGUUCUUUAUCUAAAUAAAAGCGAUAUUUGUAGUGGUGGAUAAUUUCUGAAGAAUUCUAUGAUUUAAGGCUCUUCUUUCAGUAAAGAGUUUGGACACUUUACAUAAGAUGGCAAAAAUGCCUUCCUAGGGUUAUGAGCUAAAUUAAUAUCUGGCUUGACUGAUAUUUUAGCUGUACUGCACACUAGGUCUGAAUGCAGCCCAUGGUUUUGUGCUCUUGUAUUACAAAGUGGCCUUCAUUGUGUGCUCAUACAGUAUGCAACAUCUGAAUUUUGCUUUCAUCUGGCAUACUUGUAAGUUCUCCACAUUUUUAUUACUUGGCUUACAACUAAUUACUCUGGAUACAUCAGACUAUCAAUCUGCUUUGUAAACAUUCCCUCUUCAAAAACUCUGUUGUAUCUUCAUGGAAGAUUGUCACAUGCCACUUCCAAAUACCAUGUAUGAAGAUUGGGAUGUUUCCUAUCACUAAGUUUGCUAAACCAAAGGCCUCUGAAAUCUAUUCUGUUUUCUCAAGCAUGGGAAAUGGAGUUUGAGUGAAGGCUGUAGCUGGCUGUCAGAAGCACAUGUGAAGUACUUAUCCUCUCUUCAAACAAGUUUCUGGAAUCUGGACUUCUUCCAUGAAAAUCAUGUCUGCAUUUGACAGUUGCUGGGAUUUUCAUAAGAUUUUUCACUGGACCUGAUAGAAGAGAUGCUGCCAAAAACGAAGGAUCCGUUCAUGUCACUGAAAUAUCUGAUUGGAUUUGGAGAGAGGAUUUUAUUUCUUUUAAAGUUUAGCCCUCCCCCCUUUGUUUUAUUUUUGCCCUCUGGCGUCUGCUCUGGAGGAGCGAUGUUCUACGACUGGGGAAUGCUCCAGAGGACCUGCCCAAGUUUUUGCAGGAAGUCUGCUUAUAAUCAAUCUCAUACUGCCCCAGUGAACUGGGAACCCCCUCUUCCCAUCACCACACCAAAAAAAAAAAAAAAGAGAGAGAGAAAAACUUGCUAAUUUAUAGAGAAAAUUAAGCUUAGGGAAAUAAUUUUUCAAAUGUUACUUCAAGAAUAAUGCAGAUCAUCUGAAAAAAAAAAAAGAGGGUAUUUGUUUAACUCUUACUGUGCAUUUCAACUAUAAAAAUACAUUCCAAGAUAAGAGUUGCAAUUUGUUGUGAAGGAAUAAAAUAUUUUUGAAAAGAUGUAUUAAGACAAAUCUUGUUCUGAUUCUCCAGCAGGCAAAUAAGAGUGCUGUUGUAUUACAUAUGUAACUUCAAAAUCACUGCAAGUUAGCUGUUAAGGGAGAAUACUUUGAUUUGGGAAGGAGCAGUUAGCUUACAUGUGUUGGGAAAGUGGAGUUAAACAUCUGAUAAUCAUAAAUGUCUCUCUUUUUUUUUUGUAAGCACAUUCUAUUGCCAUAAAUGCUUAGGAAAAAAAAGCACUCCCCAAACCAUAAAGUAAGAGAAGAACAAACUACAGAAUUUUUAUGGAUUUUUUUCCUCUUAUUGGCUUUAGGGAGGUCUACAUUUUGGUCUGUGAAUGUCUGUCUCAGCUGGAUGGCUUCAGAAAGCUUUGUAUUGCUCUGUCAGUUUCCAAAGGGAGAUGAAAACCAUGUUGUUGUGCCUAUGUUUGAAAAUGGAGAUCAAAUUAAGGUUUGGCAUCACCUGCUUCUGAGAAAACACCUGUCUGCCUGCAAAGCAGAUUGUGUCAGUCUGUGUCUUGCCUUUCCCCUAACAUUCUGGUGGGUUAUGAGGCUUUGAAAACAUAUCAGCUCCCUUGUGCUCAGGUGAGACUUUGCAGCUUUUUGCUGUGCGUUCUCUGGAAGAUGCAGGGUACGACACUGACUUGUCUUAAGGGGACCCUGAGCACCAGGAGAAGCUGGAGCCCUAUGAAAAAUCACCCAUGAUCCUGCAAGGACUUCUGUGCACACCUUGUAAUACUGCAGACAAAAAUUAGUGCUGGUGCUUUGACUUACGAGGUUUGGACUUUUCACCAUAAAGAUGUUUAUUAAAACCUCUGUGGAUGUUUGGGUCAAUGGGGUACAGUUACUUGCAUCAUCUGUUCAACUGUUUUGAUUUCUAAGCCAACACUGCGUAGUUCAACAACCAUGAGGUUUUUAUUGCUCUCCAAUAAGAAAAAUCCAGGCACAUCUGGCCUAACAAGUUUGUUUGAUCCAAGUAGAAAGUCUCAUCUUUCAAAUGUAUCCACCUCUUCUCUGUACUCUUUUUGAUACUUUUAUCAGGGCUUAUCAUUUUGGUCAGUUCCACUCUGAGAGCAGUCUCCAUUGUGACAUGGCUAGAGAUGGACAAGAGGGGAUGAGUUGCUCUGACAUCACUCUGUGCCUGCAAAGACCUAUUCCUUUGCUUUCCUGCAACAGAAGUUCUUGCUCGCAUAUCCAAUCAGUUGUAAACAACUGAAGAUCAGGGUUAAAACCUUCAUCUCUAAAAAUAAGAAUGCUGCUGUGAAAUCUUGCCUGAAAGGCUGGAAGAAAAAAAUGGACAAGAAAGACCUUCCUGGAACUAACAAGCUAAGGAAUGAAGCAUCUGCCCCAGUUGCUGAGAGAAGUGUGGGAAUGGAUUUGAAAGAAGACUGGCCUCAUGUGCAGCUCUUUAUGGCUCAGGAGCAAAAUACUUCUUAGAUGACUGUGCUGGUUCUUCCAGAUGUGUGAGUAGUUUUUAGUGCUGCUGAGACUUUGCAAGCUGGCUGCGAGCAUCCUAUCAGUGUGGGCACUCUCCAAAAUGAUCUGUUUUUAUUCUUUUACAAAGAGGUUUUCAAAGGGAAAUGCCUGCAAAUUUUGUCCCACUGAAAGAUGUCCUACAAGAUGCUGAGUUUUGGCCCCUUCUUCCUAUGCAGGAAGGUGACAGCAAGCACUACCAAGAAGGCCAAGUGUCCCUGGGUGGCACAAAGGAACACUGUUUCACAUAGGACAAUCAGACCUUUCCAUGUUUUAUAGAAAUAGUCUUUUAUCUCCCUUUAUAGAUGGAGUGAAAGCAGGUUUUGUACAGUGACAGUAGUCUGGAGCCCUUUGGAAAAGGCUCCUCCAUGAGAAGGAGUCUUCUAGAGACCUGCUGGGGAAGUCCUGUGGUGCAGGGGACCAUGCUGUGACGGGAGGUUGCAGCCCCAUGGUUAAACACAGCUGCUGAGGUCUGUCUUUUUCUCUGUUCCUCUCUGAGCACACACCUGUAUAGGUUGUGAUAUGGUCCUGGGCUUGCAGACUUCUAGUCAUAUUUGUGGACUUCACCUACAAAGGGGAUUUUCAGUUCAAUGAGCAUCCCAGAAAAUGCCUCACGUCAAAUGCAUCUUUCUGCCUGUAGGAGUGGGUGUCUCUGCUUCCUGCCCAGAUUGCAAAACUCUCCAUCAAUGAUGGGAUAAAGAUUAACUAAAAAUGAAAAUAAGGGGAUUUUUCUCUAACUCUGUUUUUUCUUCCACUAGCUUCUUUUGAGAUGGAAAUUUACUGCACUACUCUUGGCAGUUUGGCCUAUUUGGUAACUGCAGUCUUCUCAUCUGGUGGGCCAUUCCCGUGGUUCCCACGUUGUACUCAUUCUUCCUAUAGUAUUUUCCAUUCACGUAUUACUUUCCUAAUAACUGCUUCUCUCUUCAUUUAAUAUUUCCCUGUGUGUUUGGCCUGGUUUCUCUGCAUUCUUGGUGUGGUGUAUGCCAUGCCAUCAAUGGAACAAGGUAGCACAGCUUUACAUGCUGGGUGUGGGGUUGCUUCUUCAGAGCAGUUCACUUAAGUUGCACAUUUCAGAUUUUUCCAGCUUUGUUUUGUGGUGGGUCUCUUCUAUAGCUGUGACUUAUUAAAAUGGAUGCUAUCAGGUCUCAUAAACAGUUGCAAUCAUCCUGGCUUUGGUGAGGCACCUUUCCCAGCCAGAGUUGCUGGAGCCCUGUGGUCUGGAGCAUUUGCUCUGUCUUGUGGUUCACUGAGGCUCUCUUCUGUUCCUUGCUCCUGGCUGGACACGUUCCCCUGCUUGCUUUAACUAAGUAUCCUAAGGAAUCUCACUGGUCUAUACGGUCAUUUGUGGCUUGGCAGUUUUGUCACUCUGAAGUGUGCUUUUUUUCCUUUUUUUUUUUUUCUUUUUUCCCCUCUAUAUGCCAGGAUGUCUGAAGUGUGGUCCUCUGAACUCAGCGCAUCUCUUUUCCUCUCUCAGCCCAUAGGCUUUUGUGUGUUGGUCUUAUAAGAUAGAUAAAUCCUCUUCACUAUGACUUCCUUGAUGCGUACAUUUAUAUUAUUUCUCUAGUUUACAAGUACAAAACUAAAAGGGAUAGAACUCAUCUAAAAAAAUCAUCAAGGGUCAUACUUCAGUCAUUUCCAGAUUUUUGGCAUAUUCAAAACUUGAAAACGUUAUUUCUCCCUAACUACUUCUAUGAGGAAAUAAUGGGCCCAGCUAGAGGCUGAAGGCAGACAAUGGUCAUUACAAUUUCUUUCACAUCCAGCAAAACCCAAUGGUUUCAGAGUUGGAGGUCUUCUGAUUUUAGCCAAUUGUUCUCAAAGACAUGGUGUAAUCCUUUCCAUGUCUUGUAUUUCUUAAUCACAUUUGAUAGCUUGGUAACUUUCUUUAACCAGAGCAAUGUGUUAAACAUUUUUUUGGCUGCCACAGAGAGAAAUCUAAAUAAAUAUUUUGCUGAACUAGGUUCCGACAGUUCUGGUACAUAGCCUAACACCAUAUAUUGUGGUGUGCAGGGAAAACAGUUUGCCAAAGGGAACUCAAUAGCAGCAAGGAUCUUCUGCCAAAAUAUCUUAAUUCUGGGACUGGACCAGGAAACUCACAUGGGUCCUGUUCUGCUCGGGCCGAAGUCAAAGGUAAAGUUCCUACUGCCUGCAGUGGGAUAAGGCUCAGACUCCAACACAGAGCAUUUAUGUUCCCAUUUCACACAUUUUCCUUCAAAUUCUUACUCUUUUUUUCCUCUGUAGUUUUAGGCUCUGGAGAUAUAUGUACCAUUGCCCUCCCCUGUACUUAUCCUGGAAGGGGAAUCCCAUCUUGGAAUCACUUUCCUCAUCUCUUACACCACUUCAGAACAGUUUCUGCUAUGUGUCUUGCAGCAAGGCUGGAACUCAGCAGCCAUAAUCUGUAGAGACAGAUGAACAAAUUAGUUCAUGAAGGGAGGAAAAAACUUCUGAAAAAUUAGAAAAUAAAAAUAAGAGCUUGAAAUCAUGUCAGAAGGGCCAGACGUGGUGUCUUGAAAUAACUAAUUUUGUAUUUCACUAGUCCCUGGGUGUACCUGGGGAGAGAAAUCAGGGAGAGGCUAUAGUCAAGAAUGAGAGAGCAAACAUGGGCUCUGGGGACGUUUACAGUAGGAAAUGUAACUCCAGCAUCACUGUGUUGCAAUGAGAGCUAGCAUGUAUGGAGCUUGAACGUGUCUUUCGGUGUCUGUAAGUACACAUAUGACUAUAUUUAGCUCUGGAAAUAAACACAAGUAGUCUGAUAGCUUUAAACAUGUCAGGUUUAGCGCAUCAGACAGUAAGAACCCUUGGAAGAAGCAAGUGUAACAUUCAGACUGAUGCUGACUUUUAGUGUAAAGCUUAGAAGAGACCUGGCAAGUCUACCACACAAGGUGAUGGGCUACCAGGCAGGGACUGCUGGGCUAUUUCCAGCAAUGCUGCACACCUGUGGUCUGACCUCAGGCAAGACAUUCAAUUUCCCCAUGCAUUUUGAUUUGCUUUCUCUGUCUGCAUUAGAUACUGCUCUUUGCUUCUCUUGGCAGCUUCAGAGGCUCUAAAGAGUGACCUCAGCAAGAGGAGAUGUUCCCACCCCACCUCUCCACGUACUGCAGGACAGUUCUUCGGUGUGCACUGAAAUAAGGGCGAGAUUCAACCAGGGUCACUCUUGCUGCAGCAUUCUCUCCAUAACAGCCCUACUGCAGAUGCUGGAGUGUUAAGAAGCCACCUUAUGUACCUACUGAAUAUGUGACAUGUCGUUUAAGUGAUUGAUAGGUUUCGUGGAAUGGCACCAACCUGUUCCAAAACCUAUCUGUAAUGUAUACGUUUUAGUCAUUUUAUUAAUAAUAAGAAGUAAAUGAAAUUCUACACUGAAGUUGUUGGAAGCCAUUCAGGUGUGGUGUAAAGCAGAAAGAAAUGCUGACAAAAACUUCAGUGCAGUAGUGUCUAAUACUUCCCUGGGCAGGUAUGAGGUUCUCUUCAGUGAGCAAAUAUGUCUUUAUGUUCUGCUGGCAUUCAUUUUUAUGCAAGGUAUGAAGACAGGAAGACAAAAUGUCAUCAGUUUUUGUUUUUUUCUUUCAGCUUUCAAAAAAUAAAAGGAAAUCCCAUGACAGUCACUGAAACCAUAUCAAUUCUGGACGAUUCUAGAUGCAUAAAAAUAAACUUGAGUGUAAAAUGAAACAGUACAGCCUUUGAGUGGGUUCUCUAAGAACAGGUUUUCACCUGUAACUUUGUAUUCUGUUAUACCCAAGAAUGUUGGUGGGUCUGAAUUUGCCCCUUACUUCUGCAUCUUUAUGCCUGUUCCCAUAUGCCUGGAUGACACAGUAGGGGCCCUUUCAUCGGAGUGGAGCAUCCUCAGUGAUAACCAUAUGGAAUCCUUGUCUUGUGCAGCCUUCCUCUGCGCUUCAGCUUCCUGUUUCCUGAAUGUUCAGACUUAUUUCCUGCCACCCUCUCCAUCACACCUAUGACUUGAAGGUCUUUGCUGCGGUCUGACGUGAGAUCUUUGUGAAAUACCACCCAACGAGAGCCAAAUACCACACUCCUAACUCGCAUAAAAUUUCUGCUUAUGUCAAUGGAAGUUCUCCUAAGUGAGGUUGCCAGCUUUGACCGUGGGUUUGCAGCACAGCAUAAGCCACAAUCUCUCAGAAUGCUCAAUGCUACUCCGUGCGAUCUGGGACAGCCUGCACAGAGAUGCCUUACCGGAGAAAGCGAUAGCAGCCUGUUGCUGGGACAGGGGAGGAGAACUGCCGAUUGAGAUUUAAAAAAGACCUCUGUCCCUUCAGGAAGAGACGGCAAAGGGUGUCACGUUUCUUUUGGCACUGCAGUGCUACCGAAUUACAUCUGCUCUUCAAACGUUUCCUACAGGGAGCCUUGCUGGACACCACCGCUUACACUUGAGACGCAAAACCCUCCAGCACGCUCAGCCCCAUUUCAUCGCCCCACGUCCGCGGUAUAACGCAGCCCGCAGCCGCUCCGCGCCGAGCGGCACCACCUGUCCGUGCCCGCCCCGCACCUGGGGCCGCAGCGCCGCUCCCCG